rnacentral:rRNA from 1 species
AUUGAACGCUGGCGGAAUGCUUUACACAUGCAAGUCGAACGGCAGCACGGGGGCAACCCUGGUGGCGAGUGGCGAACGGGUGAGUAAUGUAUCGGAACGUGCCCAGUCGUGGGGGAUAACGUAGUGAAAAUUACGCUAAUACCGCAUACGAUCUAUGGAUGAAAGCGGGGGAUCGCAAGACCUCGCGCGAUUGGAGCGGCCGAUAUCAGAUUAGGUAGUUGGUGGGGUAAAGGCUCACCAAGCCGACGAUCUGUAGCUGGUCUGAGAGGACGACCAGCCACACUGGAACUGAGACACGGUCCAGACUCCUACGGGAGGCAGCAGUGGGGAAUUUUGGACAAUGGGCGCAAGCCUGAUCCAGCCAUUCCGCGUGCAGGAUGAAGGCCCUCGGGUUGUAAACUGCUUUUGUACGGAACGAAACGGCGAGCUCUAAUACAGUUUGCUAAUGACGGUACCGUAAGAAUAAGCACCGGCUAACUACGUGCCAGCCGCCGCGGUAA